rnacentral:rRNA from 1 species
UUUGUAUAAUGGGUCAGCGACUUAUAUUCUGUAGCAAGGUUAACCGUAUAGGGGAGCCGAAGGGAAACCGAGUCUUAACUGGGCGUUAAGUUGCAGGGUAUAGACCCGAAACCCGGUGAUCUAGCCAUGGGCAGGUUGAAGGUUGGGUAACACUAACUGGAGGACCGAACCGACUAAUGUUGAAAAAUUAGCGGAUGACUUGUGGCUGGGGGUGAAAGGCCAAUCAAACCGGGAGAUAGCUGGUUCUCCCCGAAAGCUAUUUAGGUAGCGCCUCGUGAACUCAUCUUCGGGGGUAGAGCACUGUUUCGGCUAGGGGGUCAUCCCGACUUACCAACCCGAUGCAAACUGCGAAUACCGAAGAAUGUUAUCACGGGAGACACACGGCGGGUGCUAACGUCCGUCGUGAAGAGGGAAACAACCCAGACCGCCAGCUAAGGUCCCAAAGUCACAGUUAAGUGGGAAACGAUGUGGGAAGGCUCAGACAGCCAGGAUGUUGGCUUAGAAGCAGCCAUCAUUUAAAGAAAGCGUAAUAGCUCACUGGUCGAGUCGGCCUGCGCGGAAGAUGUAACGGGGCUAAACUGUGCACCGAAGCUGCGGCAGCGACGCUUAUGCGUUGUUGGGUAGGGGAGCGUUCUGUAAGCCUGCGAAGGUGUCCUGUGAGGGAUGCUGGAGGUAUCAGAAGUGCGAAUGCUGACAUAAGUAACGAUAA